AGAUGAUAGAAUAUAAUAAUAAACUAUUAAUAAAUAUAUCGAAUUAUUCCUGAAAGUGGGAACUUUCUUCUGAUUUAUUUGAGCUAGUCACCUCAAUAAGAAAGCUCGACUAAUUAUUGACCUAGGCUUAUGAUCAAGAUCUGCCCAUAGUUUACGCAAAAUUUGUAUAACCCACUAAUUUAUUAAAGAUUGUAUACUAACUACUAAUGCACUUAUUAGAGUAGUUUUCAAGUUU
rnacentral:misc_RNA from 1 species